rnacentral:sRNA from 1 species
CUUCGGCGCACAACUGUGGGCAAAUGAAGUGGACGUGAGUAUCGAUUCCACCAGCAGUGAAGAUGUGACCUUCCCCGGCAAGGGCUUCGGUCGAGGCGCCAACAAUCAUCCCUGGGGUCACACCGUCCAUCACAUCAGGAUUGCCGGCUUUGCCAAUACCGACGAUCCUAUCACCCUUGAUACCAAUAUCAGCCUUGAUGAUGCCAGUGUAAUCCACGAUAAUCGCGUUCGUGAUCACCAGGUCGAGGCAGUCAUCAUCCGAGACGCCAGUAUUCUGGCCCAUGCCCUCACGCAG